rnacentral:tmRNA from 1 species
GGGGGCGAAAUAGGAUCGACGUGCGUGGUAAAGGCCUGAGCUGUGUUCGGCAUGGUACCCACCGUUAUCGGGCCAACUCUGACAAGUGCCAACGACAACGUUGAACUUGCCGCUGCGGCGUAAAACACCGUAAGCGCGGUUCGGGGGGGCACCGGGCAACAGAAGCCCCCCCA